rnacentral:rRNA from 1 species
AGUGAACGCUGGCGGUAGGCCUAACACAUGCAAGUCGAAUGGCAGCACAGAGGAGCUUGCUCCUUGGGCGGCGAGUGGCGGACGGGUGAGGAAUACAUCGGAAUCUACUCUGUCGUGGGGGAUAACGUAGGGAAACUUACGCUGAUACCGCAUACGACCUACGGGUGAAAGCAGGGGAUCUUCGGACCUUGCGCGAUUGAAUGAGCCGAUGUCGGAUUAGCUAGUUGGCGGGGUAAAGGCCCACCAAGGCGACGAUCCGUAGCUGGUCUGAGAGGAUGAUCAGCCACACUGGAACUGAGACACGGUCCAGACUCCUACGGGAGGCAGCAGUGGGGAAUAUUGGACAAUGGGCGCAAGCCUGAUCCAGCCAUACCGCGUGGGUGAAGAAGGCCUUCGGGUUGUAAAGCCCUUUUGUUGGGAAAGAAAUCCAUCUGGUUAAUACCCGGGUGGGAUGACGGUACCCAAAGAAUAAGCACCGGCUAACUUCGUGCCAGCCGCCGCCGUAA